rnacentral:rRNA from 1 species
UACGUAGGGACCAAGCGUUGUUCGGAUUUACUGGGCGUAAAGGGCGCGUAGGCGGCAUGGUAAGUCACUUGUGAAAUCUCCGAGCUUAACUCGGAACGGCCAAGUGAUACUGCUGAGCUAGAGUGCAGAAGGGGCAAUCGGAAUUCUUGGUGUAGCGGUGAAAUGCGUAGAUAUCAAGAGGAACACCUGAGGUGAAGACGGGUUGCUGGGCUGACACUGACGCUGAGGCGCGAAAGCUAGGGGAGCAAACGGG